GCAGACACAUUCCAGCCAAUCAGCAGCAGACCCUCCCUCCCAGACCCUCCCACCUCCUGGACAGCAUCCACUUAAGAAUGCAGCUUCACUUAUUGAGCUGUCCAGGAGGUGGGAGGGUCUGGGAGGGAGGGUCUGCUGCUGAUUGGCUGGAAUGUGUCUG
rnacentral:miRNA from 1 species